rnacentral:rRNA from 1 species
UACGUAGGGGGCAAGCGUUGUCCGGAAUCAUUGGGCGUAAAGCGCGUGUAGGCGGCCCGAUAAGUCCGCUGUGAAAGUCCAGGGCUCAACCCUGGAAUGCCGGUGGAUACUGUCGGGCUCGAGUCCGGAAGAGGCGAGUGGAAUUCCUGGUGUAGCGGUGAAAUGCGCAGAUAUCAGGAGGAACACCGAUGGCGAAGGCAGCUCGCUGGGACGGUACUGACGCUGAGACGCGAAAGCGUGGGUAGCAAACAGG